AUAAUAAGUAUAACGAUAAAGAUAUAGUUCUAAAAUAUAAGAGUCCACACCACAACUAUACGAUAAAGGCACAAAGGAAAAAUAUUGUUGGAAUCACUUUCAGAAUGAUUUUUUUUCCAGCUGAUGAAGGAUAAAAAUAUUGACAGCCAAUCAGAACUUUUUUGAAAAAAUUGUUAUGCAAACCUCCAACCUGUGUGGAUAUAAAAUAUAAUAAAUAUUAAUAACCUGAAGGAUAUGAGAAGGAGCAUAAUUAAAAUGUAAAAAUAUAUAUAAUAAUAAAUUAUUAAAUGAUAAUAAAAUAUUUAAUACAAUUAUUAAAUACUAAAAUAUAUUAUUAUUAAUAUUAAUUAUUAUAUAUUGUAUUAAUAAUAAUAAAUAACUUAAAACGUAAAAAAUAGUUCAUAAGUAACAUUUUUUAGUUGCAGGGGGUUGUUUGUUCAGAGCUUUUGUGGACAUGAGCUAUAUAAAAUAUUUUCUUAAGUUUAAGUAAAAAAAUAUUUUUCUAAAGUAGACCUUAUAAAUACAUGGAAUAUAGAUCAUUUUGAUUUGUAUCAUUUUAUUUUAUUCUUCUUUUUUUUUUGUAAUUCAAAAACAGACACUGCAAAAUCUGUAAUUUAAAGGAACAACAUGAGAGCACAAAAUAUUUUUGUCAGAUUAUAAUAUGCUUUCCCUUAAAGGAGUAAAAUAUGAUAUUUCUGAAGAAUUUAAUAUAUAUAUAUAUAUAUAUAUAUAUAUUUUAUUGUUUUAAAAAAUACAAAUAAUUAUCAUCAGUGGACAAGAAAUGUACCCUAAAUUGCAGAAUUAUAUUUAGUAGUUUAACAUUAAGUUAAAUAUAUGGUAAAUAGUUCAACAGAUGCUCAUCUGUAACUUAAUAUUGUAACUCAAUAACAUAAAUAAUUGUGAUCAAUUAAUUAAAUAAUGUUAAUACAUUUUUUUUCUCAUAUAUAUUAAUAGUAUAGGCUAUUAAAACAGUGGCAUCUAUUCAAAAUAUCUUUAGUAUUAAAAUACUUUGUCAGCAUUUCAUUAUAAUUAAACAUUUAUUUUUUAGGUACCUACACGUUAAUUGUUCUUAUUUAUUUAUUUUGUCAGAACCUAAAAAUGUGCUUCAUGUGGUAGCAUCUAAAUCAACUCAUUUUCCACAAUUCAGAAAUAUUUAAUCAACCUGAUUACAAAACACAGACUAAAAUUUAACAUUACUUUAAUCUGACAUACAAAUAUUUAUUAAUGUGCACCGACUAAGCUGUUUACAUGACACCGUUUUCAACUAAAUACGGAAAACUUUUUAUGCGUUUCGGCCGUUCAUUUACACGACAAUGGUUUUGAAAACGGGUUCAAAGUGCACGCUUUUGAAACGCGAAAACGCGAAUCAGUGAAAACGGUGACGUCAUGCACAUACGUAUUACAUGUUUAGUCUGUCCACCUUAUUUUUUAACGUGUUUUCUAUGAAUGUGAUUUAUUAUCCGCUAUAAGGAAAUAACGAGAAGAAUAUCAAAGUGCAGUAAACUGUGAAAAUAAGGUGGCUAGGCAUGCGUGAGGCGAGUGCGCUGUAAAAGAAUGCGUAUGCGCAGGCGCGUAGUCUUGCUUUACAAAGUGGCAUCGCCAACUACUUGUCCGGCAUGCGUAAUACAGCAUUUUUAGUCAUUUUCGCGGAUCCGUGUGAACGGGGAUAGUUUUGAUAACGUUGUCAUCUGUACAAAGAAAAAAAAAUCAGUUUUUAGUACAUCGUUGUCGUGUAGAUGUACCCUAAAUCUAAACUAAAUAAAGUAAAUUAGGUAGGUGACUAACACCAACAAAAUAGUCAGACAAGGUAGCUCCUCUUUACACAUGAAAUUUACUUUUUCUCUUGCACGUGACCUUUGCGAGACACUAAACUUUACACUGAACUUUAUCCACAUGGAAAUGCAUCCACACCACCCAAUGUAAGCAAAGUAUUUACACUGACAAGAUCAUUUGCAUUGACAGAUCUACGUCUCAGUGCUUUACUUGUCUUUAUAACCUUGUCAGUUUAGUGUUUAAUGUACUCUUAAUGACAGUACAGCAGACAACAACUAUGUUUGUCAUCAUUUCCAUCUGCAUGUUGAUCAUUGGUGUUCAAGGCUCAAAUGGACAAGUGACAGUUACUCAAACUCCUCAAGUCCAAACCUCUCAACAUGAUGAAACGGUCAAAAUAAACUGCAAAACCGACUCACCUGUUGCUGACUGUAGUCUCUGGAGGAACUGUGUGUCCUGGUACCAGCACAAACCUGGACAUGCUCCCAAACUCCUCAUUUAUUUCAUACGCGAACGUCACACAAAUGUCCCAUCUAGAUUCAGCGGCAAUGGCGCUCACACUGACUUCAAUCUGA